rnacentral:rRNA from 1 species
UACGAACUGUGCGAACGUUAUUCGGAAUCACUGGGCUUACAGGGUGCGUAGGCGGCUCAACAAGUCAGGUGUGAAAGCCCGAGGCUCAACCUCGGAACUGCCUUCGAUACUGCGGGUCUCGAGUCCGGGAGAGGUGAGUGGAAUUCCUAGUGUAGAGGUGAAAUUCGUAGAUAUUAGGAAGAACACCAGUGGCGAAGGCGGCUCACUGGCCCGGUACUGACGCUGAGGCGCGAAAGCGUGGGGAGCAAACAGG